rnacentral:miRNA from 1 species
UUUCAACUUAAACAUGGAGGAUCUCGACACCGCUAUUUCAGAAGAGACAAUAAACCGGUUUAUUGUCUCUUCUGAAAUAGCGGUGUCGAGAUCCUCCAUGUUUAAGUUGAAA